GAUGAACGCUGGCGGCGUGCCUAACACAUGCGAGUCGAGCGAAGCGCUUAAAUUAGAUUUCUUCGGAAUGACGAUUUUUGUGACUGAGCGGCGGACGGGUGAGUAACGCGUGGGUAACCUGCCUCAUACAGGGGGAUAACAGUUAGAAAUGACUGCUAAUACCGCAUAAGACCCCAGCUUCGCAUGAAGCGGUGGUAAAAACUCCGGUGGUAUGAGAUGGACCCGCGUCUGAUUAGCUAGUUGGUAAGGUAACGGCUUACCAAGGCGACGAUCAGUAGCCGACCUGAGAGGGUGACCGGCCACAUUGGGACUGAGACACGGCCCAGACUCCUACGGGAGGCAGCAGUGGGGAAUAUUGCACAAUGGGGGAAACCCUGAUGCAGCGGCGCCGCGUGAAGGAUGAAGUAUUUCGGUAUGUAAACUUCUAUCAGCAGGGAAGAAAGUGACGGUACCUGACUAAGAAGCCCCGGCUAACUACGUG
rnacentral:rRNA from 1 species